rnacentral:rRNA from 1 species
GACGAAUGCUGGCGGCGUGCCUAAUACAUGCAAGUAGGACGCAGUUUUGAACGGGUGAGUAACGCGUAGGUUACUGCCUAUUACAGGGGGAUAACUAUUGGAAACGAUAGCUAAUACCGCAUACUAGUAGCUGGACCUGCGUUUUAUUAGCUAGUAGGUAGGGUAAUGGCCUAUCUAGGCACCGACACAUAGCCGAGCUGAAAGGGAGAUCGGCCACAAUGGGACUGAGACACGGCCCAGACUCCUACGGGAGGCAGCAGUAGGGAGUCUUCGGCAAUGGGGAGAAUCCUGACCAAGCAACGCCGCGUGAGUGAAGAAAGUUUUCGGAUCGUAUAUCUCUGUUGUUAAGUAAGCGGUACUUAACCAGAAGGGGACGGCUAACUACGUGCCAGCAGCCGCGGUAAUAC